rnacentral:lncRNA from 1 species
GAUCCCUGGUACCAAAAAAAAAAAAGUUAAAAUUACUGUAUUUAUGCUGGAAACUCUGGGUAUGUCUGGGUCAAAGAAAUGUAUGAUGGGCAAUUACCAUUCAGAAUUCACCAAGCUCCAAUAAAGCUGUUUCACUUGAGCUCAGGAAAUGUAAACUGCAAUAAGGCAGAAAUUUGUAAAAACAAAAACAAUGAAAGUUACCCCAUAAACAUUUCCAAAACAGAUUAAUUAUAUUAAUUAUUUUUAAAAGUCCUUUAAACUAAACGUAAUACAUGUGUCUGGAGUGAAGACACUCAACAGCAAUGGCACUGCUUCCACACCAUCUACAUCUGCACCCAUCACAGCAGCCACACUGAGACCACUGUGGAAGAGCUACCAGAGGAUCCUCUGCUGAAAGCCAAGCGAAGACGGGUCUCUAAAGAUGACUGGCCUGAGAGGGAAAUGACAAACAGUUCCUCUAACCACUUAGAAGACCCACAUUAUAGUGAGCUGACCAACCUGAAGGUGUGCAUUGAAUUAACAGGGCUCCAUCCUAAAAAACAACGCCACUUGCUGCACCUUAGAGAACGGUGGGAGCAGCAGGUGUCAGCCGCAGAGAGCAAACCUGGCCGCCAAAGCAGGAAGGAAGUGGCCCAGGCAGUUCAGCCUGAGGUCACAGCCCAGGGGAAUAACACUACUGAGGAGAAAGCCACCAGCAGGAAAAAGGCAGAGUCCAAAGGCAACAGAGGCUGGUCAGAAGAGUCCUUCAAAUCCAGUGACAAUGAACAAGGCUUGCCUGUGUUCGCCGGCUCUCCGCCCAUGAAGAGCCUUUCAUCCACCAAUGCAAGCGGCAAAAAGCAGACUCAGCCAAGCUGCACGCCAGCCUCAAGGCAGCCUGCCAAACAGCAGAAAAUUAAAGAAAGCCAGAAGACAGAUGUGCUGUGCACAGACGAGGAAGAGGACUGCCAGGCUGCCUCCUUGCCGCAGAAAUACACUGACAGCAGCGAGAAGCCAUCCGGGAAGAGACUGUGCAAAACCAAGCACUUGUUACCUCAGGAGCCCAGGCGCAGCUUGUCGCUGACAGGGGACUACUAUGUGGAGAACACUGACGGCAAGGUACCUCCUGACCCUGCAUCCCCAUGGGGCUGCUUCCCAAACCCAAAGCUCUCCUUUUCCUGGAUCCCCCCACGUGCCAGUCCUGUCCUUUCUUGAGGUGCAUGUUUGAAAGUUUCAAACUAGUAAGAAUGAGACCCCUUCCCCUCAC